GUCAAUAGAAGAAGAUGGCACGACAAUCCAGACAAGAGAGGCGCUGGUGGACAUUGUGCUGACAGCUGUGCAGCUCAGCUCCUCUCUCUGUGGGAGCAGUCACCUCCCAGUGCUGCUGGGAGCCUACGGGGCCACGCUGAGCUCCGCAGGUGAGUGUCAGCCUGGCCAAGGCACUUCCUUCUGCAUCUCGUUCUUGUCUCCACAGGUCACUAACUUUGGGUUCAAUCUUGGCUUUUAGGUCAGAAGAUACUGCUGGUGCUUCAGUUGUAUGAGAAGAAUAAUCCAAGUCUUAUAAACUCCAGCUUAAUUCCAUAGGUGCCUCUAAAUGGAUAUGUUCUGCCUCGGAUGGACAGAGGAGGGCAGAGUGAAUGAGACACCCUCAG